rnacentral:lncRNA from 1 species
CAGAGGACUUCGACGCAUCUCGAAAGGCUAGAAGCAAAGUUAUGUCACACCAUGCACAAGUUAUGAUGUGACACAAGCACUUCGAAGCCAAGAAUGGGUGAUGUUAGGGUGUCGUGUCACACCAUACACAAGCUAUGGCACAACACACCUUUUGUUUUUAGCUAAAAUCAGGCCAUUUCAAGCUUAAAGCCCGUUGAAAGUCUAUUUAUACCCACUAGUUCUAGGCAUGAAAACAUCUAUCUCAAACAUUCAAAGAAGAAAAAACACCUUCCUC